UACAGAGGUCUCAAGCGUUGUUCGGAUUCAUUGGGCGUAAAGGGUGCGUAGGUGGCGCCGUAAGUCAGGUGUGAAAUUUCGGAGCUUAACUCCGAAACUGCAUUUGAUACUGCGGUGCUUGAGGACUGGAGAGGAGACUGGAAUUUACGGUGUAGCAGUGAAAUGCGUAGAGAUCGUAAGGAAGACCAGUGGCGAAGGCGGGUCUCUGGACAGUUCCUGACACUGAGGCACGAAGGCCAGGGGAGCAAACAGG
rnacentral:rRNA from 1 species